UUUCUGUUACUUUUUCGGAUUCUCAAGCCAGAUUUUUUACUAGAAGUAAAGAGAUUGUUUUUACCAAAGAGGAAGAUGAAUGUGUAAUUGGAGGUGUUGAAGAAGGAGAGGAAUUUCGAUUUAUAAUCACAGUUAAUCCAUUGGUGUUCUUUUUGGAUUUGAGCAAUCAAUCAAAACGGGUGUGGUUCUUAAUGCAAAGUGAUUUCUCAUGUAUGAUGGUUCUUCCUUUGGGAAUGUGGCAUCAAUUUUGGAUCUAUUUUCCAUCACAGUGUCAUAUUCAUAUACCUAUGUUUGACGACUAAAAUUCUUGUUUUGGUAAAAGUACCUGAAUAAUCAU